rnacentral:rRNA from 1 species
GACGAACGCUGGCGGCGUGCUUAACACAUGCAAGUCGAGCGGUAAGGCCUUUCGGGGUACCCGAGCGGCGAACGGGUGAGUAACACGUGGGUGAUCUGCCCUGCACUUCGGGAUAAGCCUGGGAAACUGGGUCUAAUACCGGAUAUGACCUCCUAUCGCAUGGUGGGUGGUGGAAAGAUUUAUCGGUGCAGGAUGGGCCCGCGGCCUAUCAGCUUGUUGGUGGGGUAAUGGCCUACCAAGGCGACGACGGGUAGCCGACCUGAGAGGGUGACCGGCCACACGGGGAUGGGGACACGGCCCAGACCCCCACGGGGGGCAGGAGGGGGGAAUAUUGCACAAGGGGGGAAGGCCGGAUGCAGCGACCCCGGGGGGGGGAUGACGGCCUUCGGGUUGAAACCCUUUUUCAGCAGGGACGAAGCGCAAGUGACGGUACCGGAAAAAAAAGCCCCGGCAAACUACGU